AUUGAACGCCGGCGGCAGGCCUAACACAUGCAAGUCGAACGAGUGGCGGACGGGUGAGUAAUGUCUGGGAAACUGUCUGAUGGAGGGGGAUAACUACUGGAUACGGUAGCUAAUACCGCAUACCAUCCGCCGUACCCAGAUGGGAUUGGCUUGUUGGUGGGGUAACGGGUCACCAAGGCGACGAUCCCUAGCUGGUCUGAGAGGAUGACCAGCCACACUGGACCGUGGACACGGUCCAGACUCCAACGGGAGGCAGUAGUGGGGAAUAUUGCACAAUGGGCGCGAGCCUGAUGCAGCCCUGCCGCGUGUAUGAAGAAGGCCUUCGGGUUGUAAAGUACUUUCAGCGGGGAGGCGUUACCCGCAGAAGAAGCCCCGGCUAACUCCGUGCCAGCCGCCGCGGUAAUAC
rnacentral:rRNA from 1 species